AAUGACCUCGGAUCAGGUAGGGAUACCCGCUGAACUUAAGCAUACCAGUAAGCAAACCCCACAAAUUGACCUCGGAUCAGGUAGGGAUACCCGCUGAACUUAAGCAU
rnacentral:rRNA from 4 species